rnacentral:rRNA from 1 species
AUUGAACGCUGGCGGAAUGCUUUACACAUGCAAGUCGAACGGUAGAGGGGGCAACCCCUUGAGAGUGGCGAACGGGUGAGUAAUAUAUCGGAACGUGCCCAGUCGUGGGGAUAACGUAGCGAAAGUUACGCUAAUACCGCAUACGAUCUAAGGAUGAAAGCGGGGGACUCGCAAGAGCCUCGCGCGAUUGGAGCGGCCGAUAUCAGAUUAGGUAGUUGGUGGGGUAAAGGCUCACCAAGCCAACGAUCUGUAGCUGGUCUGAGAGGACGACCAGCCACACUGGAACUGAGACACGGUCCAGACUCCUACGGGAGGCAGCAGUGGGGAAUUUUGGACAAUGGACGCAAGUCUGAUCCAGCCAUUCCGCGUGCAGGAUGAAGGCCCUCGGGUUGUAAACUGCUUUUGUACGGAACGAAAGGUUUCUAUUAAUACUAGGAGCUCAUGACGGUACCGUAAGAAUAAGACACCGGCUAACUAACGUGCCAGCAGCCGCGGUAAUGUG